rnacentral:rRNA from 1 species
GUGGGGAAUAUUGGACAAUGGGCGAAAGCCUGAUCCAGCCAUGCCGCGUGUGUGAAGAAGGUCUUCGGAUUGUAAAGCACUUUAAGUUGGGAGGAAGGGCAGUAAGUUAAUACCUUGCUGUUUUGACGUUACCGACAGAAUAAGCACCGGCUAACUUCGUGCCAGCAGCCGCAGUAAUACGAAGGGUGCAAGCGUUAAUCGGAAUUACUGGGCGUAAAGCGCGCGUAGGUGGUUUUGUAAGUUGGAGGUGAAAUCCCCGGGCUCAACCUGGGAACUGCCUCCAAAACUGCAUGACUAGAGUACGGUAGAGGGUAGUGGAAUUUCCUGUGUAGCGGUGAAAUGCGUAGAUAUAGGAAGGAACACCAGUGGCGAAGGCGACUACCUGGACUGAUACUGACACUGAGGUGCGAAAGCGUGGGGAGCAAACAGGAUUAGAUACCCGUGUAGUCC